UACGUAGGGUGCAAGCGUUAAUCGGAAUUACUGGGCGUAAAGCGUGCGCAGGCGGUUUUGUAAGUCUGACGUGAAAUCCCCGGGCUCAACCUGGGAAUUGCGUUGGAGACUGCAAGGCUGGAGUCUGGCAGAGGGGGGUGGAAUUCCACGUGUAGCAGUGAAAUGCGUAGAGAUGUGGAGGAACACCGAUGGCGAAGGCAGCCCCCUGGGCUAACACUGACGCUCAUGCACGAAAGCGUGGGGAGCAAACAGG
rnacentral:rRNA from 1 species